rnacentral:sRNA from 1 species
GCAAGUGAGAGACAUUUGGCUGUCACAUCUGUCACCCAUCACCUGCCAGGCAGAUUCAGCUGUUGUGAUUAAGUGGUGAGUGGUGUCUCCUUUUCUUUUCCCUCACCACUCCAGGUGCCUCAGUUCCCAAGCUGAGUGAUCAGUUGAUAAGGACUUUUCCUCUUAGAGGAGAAUGGUCACAGAUGAGGGCAAAUGGCCAGCUGAACUCUCCUGUUACAAUCCCCCCGCCUCCCAGCAUGCUCUUCUGAGAUGCUC